UACGUAGGGUCCGAGCGUUGUCCGGAAUUAUUGGGCGUAAAGGGCUCGUAGGCGGUUAGUCGCGUCGGGAGUGAAAACUCAGGGCUCAACCCUGAGCGUGCUUCCGAUACGGGCUGACUAGAGGUAUGCAGGGGAGAACGGAAUUCCUGGUGUAGCGGUGGAAUGCGCAGAUAUCAGGAGGAACACCGGUGGCGAAGGCGGUUCUCUGGGCCGAUACUGACGCUGAGGAGCGAAAGCGUGGGGAGCAAACAGG
rnacentral:rRNA from 1 species